AAAAAUAGUGUUAGUGAGAACGGAACUAAAUUGGCCUUGGCCAAUCAGCAGAGGAGCGCAACUUCAGAUGACGCGCUUGAUACGUCGUCAUGGAAACCAAAACAACAGGUUUUGUGGAGCACACGGUGUUGUUGUGACAGCCGCCAUGUGUUCGGAGUCCGCGUGUGUGUGCCCCGCCCUCCUCGUUGUCCUCCCAUCACCUCACAGCUAAUCCUUCCACACCGGUUUCCUAUCUUGCUGUCUUGUGGAUUACUUGUGGAUUGUGUCUCGCUUGCCAAGUACUGACUACCCGGAGUCUCGCACCCCUUUUUCCCACGGCUGCCUCUGUCUCCCCGUGGGCCGUUUCCCUCCGGCUCUUACUAUCUGCCCAGUGCCCCUCUGCCAUCCCUCUCACCUCUCCCCGGCUGAAUGCUCGAGCCUGUUGAACCUUUUCCGCUUUGCCUGGUAUUUCUGUCUUUGCCUGGUGUUUCUUUGAUCUGUACUGAGCUGUUAAUAAAUACCUUUCAUUUUGAACUCUGCAUCUGACUCCUGAGUUUCUACCCUAACAGUCUGAUGAGACUGACUGAACCGACUCUUUUCACAAACAUGCCAGUGACAUGUGAGGACAGAGAUCUUUCAGGUAGAAUCUAAAAAUACUCUACACACUCCUGGAUUAUGACUAUAAGAAUAAUUUUACAAAUGCCUCAUGAUACUCAAUAAAAAUGUUUUCUGUGAUCCAAAACUUCUGAAUUGUAUCCAAACAUAAUUGAAUUUUCCAUUUUUGUACCAUGUCUUGAGCACUCUUCAUUUGUUUAUCAUGUUGGCCGAAAGGUUUUUAAAGAAUGAAGCGACAAAAUUGCCUUUGGAGACAACAAAAUCUCA